ACGGACGCUGGCGGCGUGCUUAACACAUGCAAGUCGAACGGAAAGGCCCCUUUGGGGGUACUCGAGUGGCGAACGGGUGAGUAACACGUGAGUAACCUGCCCUUGACUUCGGGAUAACUUCAGGAAACUGGGGCUAAUACCGGAUAGGAAUCCUUGCUGCAUGGUGGGGGUUGGAAAGCUUCGGCGGUUUUGGAUGGACUCGCGGCUUAUCAGCUUGUUGGUGGGGUAGUGGCUUACCAAGGCUUUGACGGGUAGCCGGCCUGAGAGGGCGACCGGCCACAUUGGGACUGAGAUACGGCCCAGACUCCUACGGGAGGCAGCAGUGGGGAAUAUUGCACAAUGGGCGGAAGCCUGAUGCAGCAACGCCGCGUGCGGGAUGACGGCCUUCGGGUUGUAAACCGCUUUCAGCAGGGGCGAAGCUUGUGGUGACGGUACCUGCAGAAGAAGCACCGGCUAACUACGUG
rnacentral:rRNA from 1 species